CUUGGAAGGAAAGAAAAUUUAACUGGAGACAACCAUGCUGAAAGCAUCUGGGGAAGUACUGGCCACAGCUGAGGCUUCUCAAUCAAAACAUAAAUACAGAAAGCUAUACAGCGUGUUGCAAGAAG